rnacentral:rRNA from 16 species
AUGUUGUUGCAGUUAAAAAGCUCGUAGUUGGACCUUGGGUCGGGUCGGCCGGUCCGCCUCACGGCGAGCACCGACCUACUCGACCCUUCGGCCGGCAUCGCGCUCCUAGCCUUAAUUGGCUGGGGCGUGUUUUCGACAUCGUUACUUUGAAGAAAUUAGAGUGCUCAAAGCAAGCCAUCGCUCUGGAUACAUUAGCAUGGGAUAACCUCAUAGGAUUCCGGUCCUAUUGCGUUGUCCUUCGGGAUCGGAGUAAUGAUUAAUAGGGACAGUUGGGGGCAUUCGUAUUUCAUAGUCAGAGGUGAACCAUUGCCACCAUUGCCACCAUUGCCAUCAUUGCCACCAUUGCCAGCAAGUAGGUAUGAUAAAAAACCACUAACUCUG